rnacentral:rRNA from 1 species
AUACGGAGGGUGCAAGCGUUACUCGGAAUCACUGGGCGUAAAGCGCGCGCAGGCGGUCUUUUAAGUUGGAUGUGAAAGCCUACGGCUCAACCGUAGAACUGCAUCCAAAACUAUUAGACUAGAGUGUGGGAGAGGAAGAUGGAAUUAGUUGUGUAGGGGUAAAAUCCGUAGAGAUAACUAGGAAUACCAAAAGCGAAGGCAAUCUUCUGGAACACUACUGACGCUGAGGCGCGAAAGCGUGGGGAGCAAACAGGAGUAGAAACCCUUGUAGUCC